GACGAACGCAGGGCGGCGUGCCUAAUACAUGCAAGUAGAACGCUGACGGAGGAGCAUGCUCUUCUGGUGAGUUGCGAACGGGUGAGUAACGAGUAGGUAACCUGCCUGGUAGCGGGGGAUAACUAUUGGAAACGAUAGCUAAUACCGCAUAAGAGUAGAUGUUGCAUGACAUUUACUUAAAAGGUGCAAUUGCAUCACUACCAGAUGGACCUGCGUUGUAUUAGCUAGUUGGUGGGGUAACGGCUCACCAAGGCGACGAUACAUAGCCGACCUGAGAGGGUGAUCGGCCACACUGGGACUGAGACACGGCCCAGACUCCUACGGGAGGCAGCAGUAGGGAAUCUUCGGCAAUGGACGGAAGUCUGACCGAGCAACGCCGCGUGAGUGAAGAAGGUUUUCGGAUCGUAAAGCUCUGUUGUAAGAGAAGAACGAGUGUGAGAGUGGAAAGUUCACACUGUGACGGUAUCUUACCAGAAAGGGACGGCUAACUACGUGCCAGCAGCCGCGGUAAUACGUAGGUCCCGAGCGUUGUCCGGAUUUAUUGGGCGUAAAGCGAGCGCAGGCGGUUAGAUAAGUCUGAAGUUAAAGGCUGUGGCUUAACCAUAGUACGCUUUGGAAACUGUUUAACUUGAGUGCAAGAGGGGAGAGUGGAAUUCCAUGUGUAGCGGUGAAAUGCGUAGAUAUAUGGAGGAACACCGGUGGCGAAAGCGGCUCUCUGGCUUGUAACUGACGCUGAGGCUCGAAAGCGUGGGGAGCAAACAGG
rnacentral:rRNA from 1 species